UGGGGAAUAUUGCACAAUGGGCGCAAGCCUGAUGCAGCCAUGCCGCGUGUAUGAAGAAGGCCUUCGGGUUGUAAAGUGCUUUCAGCGGGGAGGAAGGUGUUGUGGUUAAUAACCACAGCAAUUGACGUUACCCGCAGAAGAAGCACCGGCUAACUCCGUGCCAGCAGCCGCGGUAAUACGGAGGGUGCAAGCGUUAAUCGGAAUUACUGGGCGUAAAGCGCACGCAGGCGGUCUGUCAAGUCGGAUGUGAAAUCCCCGGGCUCAACCUGGGAACUGCAUCCGAAACUGGCAGGCUUGAGUCUUGUAGAGGGGGGUAGAAUUCCAGGUGUAGCGGUGAAAUGCGUAGAGAUCUGGAGGAAUACCGGUGGCGAAGGCGGCCCCCUGGACAAAGACUGACGCUCAGGUGCGAAAGCGUGGGGAGCAAACA
rnacentral:rRNA from 1 species